rnacentral:rRNA from 1 species
AUUGAACGCUGGCGGCAUGCUUUACACAUGCAAGUCGGACGGCAGCACAGAGAAGCUUGCUUCUUGGGUGGCGAGUGGCGAACGGGUGAGUAACAUAUCGGAACGUACCGGGCAGUGGGGGAUAACUAAUCGAAAGAUUAGCUAAUACCGCAUAUCUUCUGAGGAAGAAAGCAGGGGACCAUUUGGCCUUGCGCUGUUUGAGCGGCCGAUAUCUGAUUAGCUAGUUGGUGGGGUAAAGGCCUACCAAGGCGACGAUCAGUAGCGGGUCUGAGAGGAUGAUCCGCCACACUGGGACUGAGACACGGCCCAGACUCCUACGGGAGGCAGCAGUGGGGAAUUUUGGACAAUGGGGCGCAAGCCCUGAUCCAGCCCAUGCCCGCGUGUCUGAAAGAAAGGGCCCUUUCGGGGUUGUAAAAGGACUUUUGUCCAGGGAAGAAAAAGGGCGGGGGU